rnacentral:lncRNA from 1 species
GGGUGGUACUGUGGAGGAGCAGGGUCAUAUCAGGGUGGUUUGGGAUCCUCUCGCUGCAGUGGUGGCUCAACCUGUGGCAGCGAGGGAGGGUCAGGUAGCUCCCUCAUCUCCUCUCGACCUUGCUGGGUAGCAAUGUCCAGCAUCUCAAAUAUCUUGUCAACGUCUUCCCGAAGCAAACCAUCCCGGGCUGCUCGGUUUAGUGGGGGU